AGUCUUAAUCCCAAACUAGUUGAAAUUGGCUAUAUGAAUUCUUUUUCGCCACUCAGCCAUUUUUGAAAUCAAUUUCACAUCAAUAUCCAAACUAACAUUACUAUAUACACCUCUUAUAUUUGGCAAUCAAGGGACUAUUGGGUCAAGUAGUAACUUGGAGCCUUGUUAAAUGAAAUGUACAAGUCUUCCUUUGAUUUUAACAUGGUAAUUUUGUCUCCAGGAUGAAUGCAGACAUUUA
rnacentral:misc_RNA from 1 species